rnacentral:lncRNA from 1 species
UUUGCACAACUUAUAUGCACCAAGUUUUUGCCGAGAGGACAUGGUGUUCUUCAAUUCGAAACAACUCUUUUGCAUUCGAUAGAUCGGAGCUGUUGUCGGGUUGAAAUGUGGGAUUUGAAGAUAUAAAUCCAAAUUACACUAUAUACGACUAUAGUUAGUCAUAUGUAGGUAUAUAUAGUCACAUAUGGUCAUAUACAUGUAGUCAUAUGUAGUUAUAUAUAGUCACAUAUGGUCAUAUACAUGUAGUCAUAUGUAGUUAUAUAUAGUCACAUAUGGUCAUAUACAUGUAGUCAUAUGUAGUCAUAUAUAG